ACUAGUUGCCGGUAAUAGGUUCGUAGAAGAAGCGUAAUCUUUGUAACAUCGAUAAGAGGAGAGAUGGGAUACGGCGGCGGUGGCGGCGGCAACUCCCCCGAAGCAGCAACUUGCUCCUCCUCGUCGUUAGCUCGUCGUUGUCCAAUAUAUAAGUAAACCGUCGUCGAUUGCCAGUACAGUACAGUCUACGUUUUCCCGUCUUUCUCUCCUUCAUACGGAUUUACUUGCUUUCACGUUGUGUGAAACGCGUUCGCUCGAUUACCGAAAUCCUUACUUUCCUUCCUUUUACUUUUUUUUUUUUUCAAUUUUUUCCUUGAAGAUUAUUCAUUCGUACUUAUACGUUCGAAGUAUUCGCGAAAGCGCCGAUUCUAAAACUAAACAUGAGUGUCCUUCGACCUAUCCUCAACAACCCUUAUCAUUUUUCUAUUUAUUUCCACAUGUUUAUUAUAAUUUUUUCAACGAUAAUUUUCAACGUACAACCAGGUCUCUCGAUCAAACCAGAAACGGUCCUUUCGAAUAUUUUACUGAGACCGUUUGAACCUACUAAAUGGAGUACGAAAGAAUGUCAACGGGAUAGCGCCAUCUACUUGGAGGAACUCUCGCGUUAUACACCAUGGGCUUUGAAAAUGUACGACGCUUCGGUAAAAAUACCGACCGGUAUUAUCACUGGGAAUUACAAACAAUUGGGCAAUUACAACGAAUGUCUUCAGGUUAAAAGUGAUCAAGGAAUUUCUGGCCAAUCCUGUAGCGCUACAAUACAAUUUGAAGUAGCAGAAGAUAAUAGUACAUCUAAAGAAUUAGAUUUUGCUGAUUUGCUCGUAAACGUCGCUACGGCAUCCAACGCAACGAAAUGGCGUUCGGGCAAUACAAUCGCUUACGAAUGGAUGUUGUGCGUACCGUCGAGUUGCAAUCAUUCGGAAGUUCAAGAAUUUUUGGAUAUUCAUUUGGAUCCUUUAAAGGUCGAGGGUCGGCUAGAUUUUGUAAUAAACGUUCCAAUAACGUCCUGUCAUACUUUGGAAACCGAACGAACAACGUUCAAUCUAUCUGAUUGGAUUUACAUAUCGAUUCUUCUUAUCUUCUCGUUGAUAAUUAUCGUUAGUACGGCUUUCGAUAUCUCACGUAAAGGACAUUUGAGUUCAUCGAACCGAAAAGGUAAAAAAUAUAUUUUAUUAAACAGCUUUUCCAUUUAUACAAAUUGCAAGAAUCUUUUCAAUACCGACAGACCUCAAGGUUGUAUCCCUUGUUUGGACGGAUUACGAUUUCUAAGUAUUUGCUGGAUUAUUUAUGGACAUACUUAUUAUAUUGAAGUUAUGGGUAUUAAUAUGGAUUUGACGCAAGUACCAAAAAUGCACGAAAACUGGAGUAAGAUGUUGGUGCUAAAUGGAAAUAUGGUCACGGAUACUUUCUUUUUACUCAGUGGUGUUCUCCUAGCUUACACCGAGGUAAUAAAAAAGGAAAAAAGUACUGAGUGGAAGUUUGACGUUGUAGGUCUUUAUCUUCACCGUUAUGCAAGAUUAACGCCAGCAUACGCAAUGAUGAUUGGUUUUUAUGCAACUAUAUACUACAAAUUUGGAAGUGGUCCUCAUUGGGAUACCUGGGUUGGUUCAAAUCAAAAUUAUUGUCGUGACAAUUGGUGGACCAAUCUUCUUUACGUUAACAAUUACGUCAACGUAGCCGACAUGUGCAUGUCCCAAUCAUGGUAUUUGGCAGUGGAUAUGCAAUUGAUUUGGUUGUCACCAAUUUUUCUUUACCCGAUGCUCAAACCAAUGAGAAGAAUAUUUUUCUGGAUAAUAAUCGGUGCAGCCUUCGUAUUAUCGAUACUUUUACCCUUCGCCAUGACAUUUUUUAAUCGAUUUACCGCAACUAUGUUAUAUUACAAGGAACAAAGUGAUGUAGCUAAUGUUUUUUUAUACAUCUACACGAGAGUAUACACCAGAGCAGGACCUUACAUCGUUGGUUUAGCACUUGGUUAUUUAUUGGCUAAAAGAAAGUUUGAUGGUAUCAAGUUAAGAAAGCUUUACGUAGUCAUUGGAUGGUUGGUCGCCAUUGUAGUAGCAAUCUCAGCAGUUUUUGGUGCACGAGAAAUGUAUUUCGAUGAUCAUCCAUACAAUAGAUUAGAGGCCAGUUUUUACGCAGGGAUGCACAGACAUGCAUUUGCAUUGGUCGUUUCUUGGAUUAUUUUCUGUUGCGUUUAUGGAUAUGCAGGGCUAGUUGGAGAAUUACUUUCUUGGCGAGGCUGGGCACCUCUAAGCAGAUUAACUUACAGCGCUUACCUUUGUCAUUACGUCUUUAUAUUAUCCCGAGCCGGAAGUGUGCGCACCACCGGCAAUUUAACGUCAAUGAGCGUGAUAGAUAGAUUUUUAACUCGUUAAGGAUGGCACCUCUAGUGUGACCGCUUAAAAAAGCUGAUUUUGGGGAAUUUUUUGUAAAGAAAACUACUGCAUGGAAUGUUUCAAUACUUUUUAAGGAGAUAUUCGUGGAUAUUUAAAGAAAAUACGACCAAAUUUUUGGACUAAAAUAUUGAAAAUUAAGCGAGUUAUUCACAAUCUCUCUCAAGGCCUAAACAAGUUCCCUCACUGCUACAGUUAUAACGAUCUUCAAAACGGUACAUAAAAUGAAAAAAAAAAACCAAAAAGUUUAAUUAACUAGAAGGAAUUUUCUGUACCACGAACCUCAGUUGAAACGAAAAAUUGAAAUUCAACAAUAUGGCGGAGUUUUCAAAAGUAGUUUUAAAUUUCGCGCGAAAAUUUGAUGAUUUUUGAGAAUUUUUGGUAAAGAAAACUACUGCAUGAAAUGUUCCAAUUUGUUGAAGAAAUAUUCGAGAAUAUGUAAUGAAUAUACGAACAAAUUUUUGGACUAAAAUAUUGAAAAUUAAGCGAGUUAUUCGUUAUCUCUCAAGGCUCAAAAAAGUCCCCUCACUGCCGCAGUUAUAGCGAUUUUUAAAACGGUACAUAAAAUAAAAAAAAAAACCAAAAAGUUUAAUUAACUAGAAGGAAUUUUCUGUACCACGAACCUCAUUUGAAACGAAAAAUUGAAAUGCAACAAUAUGGCGGAGUUUUCAAGAGAAGUUUCAAUUUUUAAUCGAAAAUUUAAUGAUUUUUGGCCAGCCUGUAAUUCAAAAUUGAUGACUCUGAUUCAAAAACAUUUUGAGAUGUACACUUUCUUCGGUAAUUUAUCAUUUACAAUGGCUUUGUCAUUACUGUGGAGUUUAUCUUUUGAAAUUCC
rnacentral:misc_RNA from 1 species